UCACACCAUGCAGUAGUUGGUGAAUAUUAACAUGUUUUCCUCCUUGCAGGGCCCUGCAUCUAAUCCUGAAGCAAACUGUGGUUACUUCAAAUGGGCUACUUCAAAGUCUAGGAAUAAAUAACGGUGGUGAAUUCACAUUUUAAUAAAAGGAUUGUGUUCAUUUGCCCACUCCAUCCAAGUUCCCUUGUAUAGUGACAAUAUGGAGCUGACAUCCCAUCCCAGUUUUGCAUGAUAAUGGAGGAGCUGCAUUUCAAUCUUUUCGACACAUCCUCAUAGCUUCUUGCAGCUGUUGUG
rnacentral:lncRNA from 1 species